AUAUUUUCUAUGUCUUUUUUCCUUUUAGUAUUCUAAAAAUUCUUAUUUUAAAUUUUAUACAAGUGUCGGUCUGUGGCAGAUUAGAAAGCAAAUCCUGGUCUUUGCCCACAAGCAGUUGGAGAAACUUUGGUCUGUACAGGACAUCCUCUGUCUUUGCAAGAAGGUGUUGCUUACCCACAGGAAGCCAUGAAAAAUCAGGGAGCCUGGAAAAACCCAGCCCUUGGGCAGCCCGGGAGGUGGGAAGGUUGUUCUCAAUAGUGCUUCUGGCCUGGGGGCUUGAGGUGGCCUGGUUUGGACUGGACAUCGAGGCACUGUACAAGGAGCCUGGCUGAGGUCGGUCAUGUCACAUCAAGGGGGUGUCACAUCAAGGGGGUGUGUUGUUGACCUGAAUCCACCAUGCAAAGCAGGGCAGAUGGUUGGUUGUUGACCAGCCCAGGGCUGCUUGAACCCGAAGGGCAGGGCCUGGCUGUGUACGUGGGAGGCUUGGGUCUCCUUCCCCAGCUGCUGUUGGCCCCCUUCCAGGCCUUCCCUGCACACAUGGAGGAGGCUGCAGGAGGCUCUGUAGAAUCCGUGCUGCUCUGUGCUUCAGCUGUUUGUUCCAGUCUCCUUCACAGACAGCAGCUCCCCAAGAUUUUACUGGGUCAGCAGCUGCAGCUGAAAUGAGCCAAGGAUGCUUGCUCGGGGUGGCAGAGAAACACCGCCGGCUGGGAGUGCCAUCUCUUUACCGUUGAGGGCCACUUUCUCAGAGCGCGCUGAGUUCACACAGAACCUACUCUGCCACAGCCUGUUUUAUUUUUUAAAAGUCAGUGGAUGACAAAACAAUUUUAGAUGGCUUUCCUUUGCUCUCCCUAAAACUGAGCACCUUCCACAGCUCUUACCCUGGACACGUGUCCUUUGGUGCAUCUACAGAAUCCCUCAAAAUUUAAUUAUUUUUAACUAAAAAUACCCAGUGUAACCGGAUACACUUUAAAAUAGUGAGUUCAUUUGAAAUACCUUCUCAAGCAACAGGGUUCGUUCCAGGGACUGUGGAAAUAAUGGUAGUUGUGGCAAAAUGGAAAUGUAACUGGUCGCUCAUACACUCCUAAGAUCUCGUGCUUAGAAGUGUGAUCAUGUGUGCUUGGGGAAAGUGACUGUGUUUUUCACACAAUAUAGUCCUACCCUGGAAAUUGUGACUGAACUGGAAAACACCCCAGGUUGUGGAUUCACCUGUGCAGAGGAGUAACUAGAAGUCAGAUUUAGGGAAGACAUGCAGCAAAGAAACCUAGAGAAAGCAGAGGGAAGAGAAAAAAUAUGUUGUAAUGGCUAAAUAAGCCCAAACUUAUCAGUUGUGACAACAUAAAAAAUGAAAUAAAAAUCAGGCUGAAACAAAA